rnacentral:rRNA from 10 species
GCCUGGUUAGUACAUGGAUGGGUGACCGCCUGGGAAUACCAGGU